AGUCGCCUUCAAGUUCUUUAAGAACCUGAUCGGCCGGGUAGGGGCCACGGUCCCGUAGGGUUCGGUAAGCUUCAAUCACAAACAUGGCUUCGUUUGUGGCUUUUGAAAGCCCGUACUGCUUGUUUAACCGGCUCAAGUUGUUCAAGCUUCCUUUGAACAUACAGUACAUUUCGUCUAAUCCACAAAAUAACAUCUGAUGGUGAGUGGAGUGAGAUGCAGACGGAUCGAACGCUAUGGACGCCGCAUUUCCAAAACACAUACACAGAGCUUCACAAGAACCAGAAGUGAUGAAAUGGUUGAGGAUUUCUCGAGGAAGCUUGGGCUUCGCCGUCGGGAGACGAAACGAGGCCGGACUCUGAAGCUCCGGCGGUGACGGAACCGACUGGCUAUCGAAAAUGGCCAACAUCUUCAAUCUACAGAUCUUAACUUCACUUCACUUGACUGAAAACGAACAAUUUUU
rnacentral:misc_RNA from 1 species